AUAAACACCCCUCUACAAACGCUUCUGCUUAUGCAAAUUCAAAUAUGGAGAAUAAGCUUUCAUCUCUUUCUAAUUUAGUUUUUUUAAAAAAAAAAAACUCUCUCUCUCUCUAACACAUACACGCACACACAAUUAGAGAAACAUUUACGAACUGUACCAAGAUUUUUUCAUCUCCCAUCUGCCAACAUACUUUAUCAACGACAUGUCGUGAACCGCCGGAUGCUAGCACCUGUCGGUUUCCAUAGUCAUCUCAGCAUGUACAGUUCUUCCAAAACCCCCCAAACGAGCAGUUCUAUCAGUCAGUCACAAAGCGUGAAGCUGAGGAGCGACUGAGGGAUGAAAAAAAUUCAAGAAAUUUUCAAUCAUGAAGGAAAAGCUGUAGAUGAAUUAUUAAACAUUGCCAAGGUAAAGUAUCUAGUUUAAAACAAAUCAAUUAUGGGAAGAGCAGUCUAUAAAUCUUAAAUUAUGCAUAGUGAUGUAAAAAUAAGGUCACAAUUUGUACUUGUUGACCCUAACUGCUCAGCAAAAGGAUAAUACAUGGCUUUUUGGGUGAGAGUCGUGAGACGAAACAAAAGUACUUGAUCUCAUGAAUGUAUCGUUUCUAUUGUUUCUGAUUUUCUCAUCAUUUAAAUUGUUAUCAAGCAGGAGAUUUGAUUGUGCUGAUAACUACUUACGUCAGUUUGUGUAACUUCCUCUCUUCUUAGAUUAUCUGUCGUAUUAAUCUUCUGAACUCUGAAGUAGACUCAAGUGUUAUCCAUCAGUUUCCAUGAUGGUGGAAAGUGCUAAUUUCUUAGGGAUAGGAGAUGCAUGUAAGUAUGUUUUGACAAAUUGCAUGCAGACAUCUGGAAACACCUACUCUGUGCCUUGUUGGGGCUCCAAACGUUGGAAAAUCAUCUUUUGUUCGUCUACUAUCUACAGGAAAGCCAGAGGAUAGAGGAUUCGUUGCCAUAAUAUAUUUUCAAAUUCAAAUGAUGUGUCUCGACUUGAACAAGUCAAUAGUAUCCAGUUGGAGCCUGGAGGUGAAUGAUCACAACUCACCCACCGUAAAAACUGGUAGCUUAGAAAAUGACAAUUUUGGAACUUCUGGUGGGAGCACUUUAGCACUGGUAAAAUCUGCUAAACUUCUUCUACUGGUGUUUUUCCUUCUAAUACUAUGAUACAAGCUGUUCUCUAUUUGUACUAUUUUGGAAUUCGAAGUUCUAUAUAUUGUUUGCAUGCCCAUUAUUCAUUUUUCACUUUUAUUUUUGUUUUGCGACAGGGAGGUAUAUAUCUUGUUUGAAGCGCUUCAGUUGAUGCUAAAAGGCGAUCAUCUAAAGAUGCACAAAUUCAAGAUUGAUCAAAAGUUGUUUAUUCUGUUAAGGAAGAUCAGAUGAGCUUUUUAUAGUUGUCAUAUAGAUGUUAUGUACUUUGAUAUAUAUUUUUUAAUGUUAUUAAUGAAGCAUUUAUAUUUUUUUCA